rnacentral:tRNA from 1 species
GUGGCUGUGGUGAAGUGGUUAACACGCCGGAUUGUGGCUCCGGUAUGCGAGGGUUCGAGCCCCUUCAGUCACCCCA